rnacentral:rRNA from 1 species
UAGGGAAUCUUCUGCAAUGGUGGGAACCCUGACCGAGCAACGCCGCGUGAGUGAAGAAGGUUUUCGGAGCGUAAAGCACUGUUGUUAAGGAAGAACGAGUGUGAGAAUGCAAAGUUCAUGCUGUGACGGUACUUAACCAGAAAGGGACGGCUAACUACGUGCCAGCAGCCGCGGUAAUACGUAGGUGGCAAGCGUUGUCCGGAUUUAUUGGGCGUAAAGCGAGCGCAGGCGGUCAAUUAAGUCUGAUGUGAAAGCCCCCGGCUCAACCGGGGAGGGUCAUUGGAAACUGGUUGACUUGAGUGCAGAAGAGGAGAGUGGAAUUCCAUGUGUAGCGGUGAAAUGCGUAGAUAUAUGGAGGAACACCGGUGGCGAAAGCGGCUCUCUGGUCUGUAACUGACGCUGAGGCUCGAAAGCGUGGGGAGCGAACAGG